UAAUGCUUUUUUCCAGCGAACGAAGAAACUUGAAUUUUACCGUUGGUAUCAACGAAACGAAGAUCUUCCGAUUUGGUGGGUAUCAUUUUAUUUCGUUUGUUUUAGUUUGUUGCGUUUGUAGUGUGUGGAAAGUUUGUAUGGAAUAGAGGGCCAACGCUUGUUGUGUGCUUUUUAUUUUCAAGUGUCUGAGUUCCUUUUUUCGUAGUUUCGUGAGCGGGCUUCUUGUUCCGUAGCUUCGUUUACAAGUUGCGUAACAAGUUGUAUUGGAUGCUUGAAAAUUCAAUGCCACGUGGUGUUGUCUCCUUACAUAGUCUGUGUGAACGAAUGAAUGAUUUGUUACAGCCAUUAGUUCGCCUUUCACGUGCCAACGCUGUGGUCGCUUGUACUCUGUUCAAUACACUCUUGAACGCCAUCUGAGAUACGAGUGUGGUGUAGCUAAGCAGUUCUAUUGUGGAGUUUGUUUGAGAAGAUUCUCCCGUAGGGAUAUACUCAGGAGCCACGAAAAAAAAUUUAAGCAUGGCGUGGCCUAACAAUAAGCUGACAAAAAAAAUAAGCUAGUCAUAAAAUGUAGAUAAAUGCAAUAAAAAAGUACAAUUAAGAGACUGACAAUAGUUUGCGGGUUCGAAAAGGUUGGUGAGAUGUGGUGUCUGCAGCAUUUCAUUUCUCCAAUCGUUUCGAAUUCGCCGGAGAAGGGUGAUGGGGCUUUUAACAAAAUUAUCGCUAUCAAUGUUACUACCUCUUCGUCUGGGACGUAGGAAGCUCUGCCGUUACUUUUGGAGUGGUUUGUCCUUCGUGCGGCCGAAGAUACAAGUACCGAUCUGGACUGCUUCGUCAUCUCCCGGACUGCUGUUGAACCCUAUUUCCUUCCCUUGCUCAUAAAUAAUGCAGUACUGCUUUCCCUUUCCAUUAGCUAGCUUGACGACUUGGAUCUGGACGCUUCAAUCUUACCAAAUACUAACCGUGGAUAGUCCCGAGGUCCCGGUCCAUCCAGUACUCCGAUACAUGCAAUAUUUUCAUCCAUACCUUUGUAGUUAGUUUUGAAUAAACGGUUUGAAAAGAG